GACGGAGGAUGCAAGUGUUAUCCGGAAUCACUGGGCGUAAAGCGUCUGUAGGUGGUUUAAUAAGUCAACUGUUAAAUCUUGAGGCUCAACUUCAAAAUCGCAGUCGAAACUAUUAGACUAGAGUAUAGUAGGGGUAAAGGGAAUUUCCAGUGGAGCGGUGAAAUGCGUAGAGAUUGGAAAGAACACCAAUGGCGAAAGCACUUUACUGGGCUAUCACCGACACUGAGAGACGAAAGCUAGGGUAGCAAAUGGG
rnacentral:rRNA from 1 species